CUCCAUGAUACUUAAAGCGACCCGUUUAAACCAUACUUAAUCUUGCUUUGACAAACUUUUGACAAGUUUUGGUAAAGGUUUUGCGAGGGCAACUUAAUUGGUUGGAUAAAUAAAUGCAUUCAAUCUCGCGAGGUGGAGAAAGCAGAUAGUCGGUUAGGGUUGUCGGAUAACGAAGUAUUUUUCUCCAUGAUACUUAAAGCGACCCGUUUAAACCAUACUUAAUCUUGCUUUGACAAACUUUUGACAAGUUUUGGUAAAGGUUUUGCGAGGGCAACUUAAUUGGUUGGAUAAAUAAAUGCAUUCAAUCUCGCGAGGUGGAGAAAGCAGAUAGUCGGUUAGGGUUGUCGGAUAACGAAGUAUUUUUCUCCAUGAUACUUAAAGCGACCCGUUUAAACCAUACUUAAUCUUGCUUUGACAAACUUUUGACAAGUUUUGGUAAAGGUUUUGCGAGGGCAACUUAAUUGGUUGGAUAAAUAAAUGCAUUCAAUCUCGCGAGGUGGAGAAAGCAGAUAGUCGGUUAGGGUUGUCGGAUAACGAAGUAUUUUUCUCCAUGAUACUUAAAGCGACCCGUUUAAACCAUACUUAAUCUUGCUUUGACAAACUUUUGACAAGUUUUGGUAAAGGUUUUGCGAGGGCAACUUAAUUGGUUGGAUAAAUAAAUGCAUUCAAUCUCGCGAGGUGGAGAAAGCAGAUAGUCGGUUAUCCAGACAGCCCGUGUAGAUAGCCGG